rnacentral:rRNA from 1 species
UACGUAGGGGGCAAGCGUUAUCCGGAUUUACUGGGUGUAAAGGGAGCGUAGACGGCGUGCCAAGUCUGGUGUGAAAGGCCGGGGCUCAACCCCGGGACUGCAUUGGAAACUGGCAUGCUGGAGUGCCGGAGGGGCAAGCGGAAUUCCUAGUGUAGCGGUGAAAUGCGUAGAUAUUAGGAGGAACACCGGUGGCGAAGGCGGCUUGCUGGACGGUAACUGACGCUCAUGCACGAAAGCGUGGGUAUCGAACAGG